rnacentral:rRNA from 1 species
AUGGCCACAUCACAUUGCAACACCAGUUCCCGUACGAUCACGGAAGUUAAGCAAUGUCGAGUCUGGUCACUACCUAUAUGGUGACAGCUUGGGAAUACUAGGUGCUAUA